AUGAACGCUGGCGGCGUGCCUAAUACCUGCCAGUCGAGCGAACAGACGAGGAGCUUGCUCCUCUGACGUUAGCGGCGGACGGGUGAGUAACACGUGGAUAACCUACCUAUAAGACUGGGAUAACUUCGGGAAACCGGAGCUAAUACCGGAUAAUAUAUUGAACCGCAUGGUUCAAUAGUGAAAGACGGUUUUGCUGUCACUUAUAGAUGGAUCCGCGCCGCAUUAGCUAGUUGGUAAGGUAACGGCUUACCAAGGCAACGAUGCGUAGCCGACCUGAGAGGGUGAUCGGCCACACUGGAACUGAGACACGGUCCAGACUCCUACGGGAGGCAGCAGUAGGGAAUCUUCCGCAAAGGGCGAAAGCUUGACGGAGCAACGCCGCGUGAGUGAUGAAGGUCUUCGGAUCGUAAAACUCUGUUAUUAGGGAAGAACAAAUGUGUAAGUAACUAUGCACGUCUUGACGGUACCUAACCAGAAAGCCACGGCUAACUACGUG
rnacentral:rRNA from 1 species